GAUGAACGCUAGCGGCAGGCUUAACACAUGCAAGUCGAGGGGCAGCGCGGGUAGCAAUACCUGGCGGCGACCGGCAAACGGGUGCGGAACACGUACAGAACCUACCUUUGUCUGGGGCAUAGCCCGGAGAAAUCCGGAUUAACUCCCCAUAAUAUAUUUGAGUGGCAUCACUUGGAUAUUAAAAAUUUAUUGGACAGAGAUGGCUGUGCGUCCCAUUAGCUAGUUGGUAGGGUAACGGCCUACCAAGGCAACGAUGGGUAGCUGGUGUGAGAGCACGACCAGCCACACGGGCACUGAGACACGGGCCCGACUCCUACGGGAGGCAGCAGUGAGGAAUAUUGGUCAAUGGACGCAAGUCUGAACCAGCCAUGCCGCGUGAAGGAUGAAGGCCUUCUGGGUUGUAAACUUCUUUUACCUGGGAAGAAAACUACGAUUUCUAUCGUAGCCGACGGUACCAGAGGAAUAAGCACCGGCUAACUCCGUGUCAGCAGCCGCGGUAAAACGU
rnacentral:rRNA from 1 species